rnacentral:rRNA from 1 species
AUUGAACGCUGGCGGCAGGCUUAACACAUGCAAGUCGAGCGGGGGAAGGUAGCUUGCUACCGGACCUAGCGGCGGACGGGUGAGUAAUGCUUAGGAAUCUGCCUAUUAGUGGGGGACAACAUCUCGAAAGGGAUGCUAAUACCGCAUACGUCCUACGGGAGAAAGCAGGGGAUCUUCGGACCUUGCGCUAAUAGAUGAGCCUAAGUCGGAUUAGCUAGUUGGUGGGGUAAAGGCCUACCAAGGCGACGAUCUGUAGCGGGUCUGUGAGGAUGAUCCGCCACAAUGGGACUGAGACACGGCCCAGACUCCUACGGGAGGCAGCAGUGGGGAAUAUUGGACAAUGGGGGGAACCCUGAACCAGCCAUGCCGCGUGUGUGAAGAAGGCCUUAUGGUUGUAAAGCACUUUAAGCGAGGAGGAGGCUACUUUAGUUAAUACCUAGAGAUAGUGGACGUUACUCGCAGAAUAAGCACCGGCUAACUCUGUGCCAGCAGCCGCAGUAA